rnacentral:rRNA from 1 species
AGUGAACGCUGGCGGUAGGCCUAACACAUGCAAGUCGAACGGCAGCACAGUAAGAGCUUGCUCUUACGGGUGGCGAGUGGCGGACGGGUGAGGAAUACAUCGGAAUCUACUUUUUCGUGGGGGUUCACGUAGGUAAACUUACUCUAAUACCGCAUCCCCCCUACGGUUGAAGGCAGUGGAUCUUCGGACCUUGCGCGGUUGAAUGAGCCGAUGUCGAGGUAGAUAGUUGGCGGGGUAAAGGCCCACCAAGUCGACGAUCGGUAGCUGGUCUGAGAGGAGGAUAAGCAACACUGGAACGGAGACACGGUCCAGACGCCUAAGGGAGGCAGCAGUGGGGAAUAUUGGACAAUGGGCGCAAGCAUGAUCCAGCCAUACCGCGUGGGUGAAGAAGGCCUUCGGGUUGUAAAGCCCUUUUGUUGGGAAAGAAAAGCAGCAGGUUAAUACCACGCUGUUCUGACGGUACCCAAAGAAUAAGCACCGGCUAACUUCGUG